GAUGAACGCUGGCGGCGUGCUUAACACAUGCAAGUCGAACGGAAAGGCUCCUGCUUGUCGGGGUACUCGAGUGGCGAACGGGUGAGUAACAUGUGGGUGAUCUGCCCUGCACUUCGGGAUAAGCCUGGGAAACUGGGUCUAAUACCGGCUAGGACGAUGGUUUGGAUGCCAUUGUGGAAAGUUUUCCGGGGUGGGAUGAGCUCGCGGCUAAUCAGCUUGUUGGUGGGGUAAUGGCUUACCAAGGCGGAGACGGGCAACCGGCCUGGGAGGGUGUACGGCCACAUUGCGACUAAGAGACGGCGCAGAGGCCAACAUUGGACAGCAGUGGAGAGUAUUGCACAGUGAGCGCAAGCCUGAUGCGGCGGCGCCGCGUGUGGGAUGACGGCCUUCGGGUUAUAAACUCCAUUCGCUAGAGACGAAGCGCAAGUGACGGUACCUAGAGAAGAAGCACCGGCUAACUACGUG
rnacentral:rRNA from 1 species